AAGCGCAUCGUGAGUAGGCUUUUGGAGUCUGAUCUAUCGAGCUGGGUAUGUUUGGAAAGCUACAGAGCAGUAGCCAUAGAAAGACUGCGUGAGACAGAGUCCUAGCCUAUCUGUCCGGCCAGUCGAACCUCAUGUGUUCGCUGCUUUCAUUUUCCCUUGGCUGAGGAAACGAUGGUUUGGUUUUGCAAAGGAAUGCUGGGGACUUCUGCCAGCUUGCUAACGGCCUUGCCCCAUUCAGAUGCAUCGAACUCACAGAACAUCGCUCCCCAGCUGCUGGCUCGCGGUUCUGAGAGUGCCUGAAUAGAAAACCACUCAUUUCCCUUCGCAAAAGAGGCGCCCAAAGCAGAUAUUUCAAUAUAUUCCAAUUUAGCCGAGGGAAGCCAGAACAUGGAUGUUGUUGCCAAGGAAACCACCUCCUUCCUCCUGUGUGCUGUGCAUACGUGUAUCACUUCAUCUCUCUGCUCUCCAAGGCCCCCAAAGGCUCUGCGCAGACCAGCACUGUCUCCUCCUUCAUCCACAGAGAGGAUGAAAGAACAUGGCAAGAGGAAGACUCACAGAACCCCACAGAGAAGCUUUGAGAAUUGGGCUGUCUGGCUCUCCCAUCACCCAUUUGGCCACCAGCUUUGGUCCCAGCUGCUGUGCCCUCGGGGGAUGCAUUAUGGCCCUGAAAGGGGCCCUUGUCCCUUUUUGGGGUGUCAUCCUGGCUGGGUGGUAUGGAUUUCUGCUGUAAACAUGGCCCAUCUGGGAGAAGCCCAGGUGCCACGUUUUGAACAGCUCUGAAACUUAAAGCUCAGAAGGCUUUGAAAUGCAAAUAUUUUGAAGGAAACAUAAGGAGGAACAUGAAUAUCUCCAGAUCUCAGAGAGGAUGUCUGACCCUUGAGCCAGAAGAAGGCCCAUUUACUCUGUGUUCACUGAUUAAUCCUGAAUGCCAAAUGUGGUGCCUGAUACACAGGAGGUUCCUUGAAUUUCUACGUGAAUUUUAGGAUCAGCUUGUCCAUUUCUGCAAAGAAGCCAGCUGAGCUUUUGAUUGGAAUUGCAUUGAAUCUGUAGAUCAAUUUGGAGAGCAUUUGCAUCUUAACAGUAUUAAGUCUUCUCAUCCAUGAACAUAUUAUAUUUUUCCAUGUAUUUAGAUCUUUAAUUGCCUUCAACAAUGUUUUGUAGUUUUUAGAAUAUAAAUCUUGCACUUCUUUUGUUAAAUGUAUUCCAAAGUAUUUCUUUUGACACUAUUGUAAGUGAAAUUGUUUUCUUAGUUUCAUUUUCAGAUUGUUCACUAUAUGAUAUCACUUUUGUGGCAUAGCAUGUGAUUGCUCAUGAAUGGUGCUGAUACACUGAUUUUUAAUGACUUGUUUAGAUAGACAAAAACUUCAAAAUAAGAUCUGCCUUAUGCACACUAGGAGCAUCCUAGCAUCUUUGAAUUCUGAGACGUCAUUUUAUUACAA
ensembl:lncRNA LINC00595 long intergenic non-protein coding RNA 595